rnacentral:rRNA from 1 species
UAGGGAAUCUUGCGCAAUGGGCGGAAGCCUGACGCAGCGACGCCGCGUGAGGGACGAAGGCCUUCGGGUUGUAAACCUCUUUCAGCAGGGACGAAGCGAAAGUGACGGUACCUGCAGAAGAAGCCCCGGCCAACUACGUGCCAGCAGCCGCGGUAAUACGUAGGGGGCGAGCGUUGUCCGGAUUUAUUGGGCGUAAAGCGCGCGUAGGCGGCCGAUCGCGUCGGAUGUGAAAGCUCAAAGCUCAACUUUGAGAGGCCAUUCGAUACGGAUCGGCUAGAGGCAGGUAGGGGAGAGUGGAAUUCCUGGUGUAGCGGUGAAAUGCGCAGAUAUCAGGAGGAACACCGGUGGCGAAGGCGGCUCUCUGGGCCUGUCCUGACGCUGAGGCGCGAAAGCUGGGGGAGCAAACAGG